UACAGAGGUCCCAAGCGUUGUUCGGAUUCACUGGGCGUAAAGGGUGCGUAGGUGGUUGAUUAAGUUUGAUGUGAAAUCUCCGAGCUCAACUCGGAAACUGCAUUGAAUACUAUUUGACUAGAGGAUUGGAGGGGGGACUGGAAUUCUCGGUGUAGCAGUGAAAUGCGUAGAUAUCGAGAGGAACACCAGUGGCGAAGGCGAGUCCCUGGACAGUUCCUGACACUGAGGCACGAAGGCCAGGGGAGCAAACGGG
rnacentral:rRNA from 1 species